ensembl:snRNA U4 U4 spliceosomal RNA
AGUUUUGCACCAUGGCAGUAUCGUAGCCAAUGAGGUUUUUCCGAGGCGCGAUUAUUGCUAAUUGAAAAACAAUAGUAUACCAAACAUCCUAUCAUAUUUCUAAAUAAGUGAAGAAAGAUAUCAGAUACUGUGAUAAGAUAAAAUUUUAUGUUGCCAUUCUUCUAAUAAGG